rnacentral:RNase_P_RNA from 1 species
GUAGUAAUGGACUUCAUCGCUUUCGUAAGGAAGAGGAAAGUCCGGACACCAUAGAGCAGCAUAGCGGAUAACAUCCGUCCACCGUAAGGUGAGGACAAGUGCAGCAGAAAGCAAGUACAGUUCGGCUGUAGUGAAAACAGGUAAACUCUAUGCGGUGCAAUGUCACGUAUACCGAGAACAGGGACUGCUCGUUCAAUCUCGGGGGGUAGGCAGCUCAAGCUAGUUAGUAAUAACUAGCGUAGAUAAAUGAUGAGGCUCGAAAGAGAACAGAAUCCGGCUUAUGAAUUACUACCUGC